ensembl:lncRNA
UAUCCUGCUUAGAUUUGCCUCUCCUGCACGGUUAAGUUUCCGUUUUCUGAAAUCCCUGGAGCCAGAAGUACACUGGAUUUUGGAAUACCUGUACAGUAGAGUCUCACUUAUCCAACAUUCGCUUAUCCAACGUUCUGGAUUAUCCAACGCAUUUUUGUAGUCAAUGUUUUCAAUAUAUCGUGAUAUUUUGGUGCUAAAUUCAUAAAUACAGUGAUUACUACAUAGCAUUACUGCAUAUUGAACUACUUUUUCUGCCAAAUUUGUUUGGCUAACAUGAUGUUUUGGUGCUUCAUUUGUAAAAUCAUAACCUAAUUUGAUGUUGAAUAGGCUUUUCCUUAAUGCCUUAAUAUUAUCCAACAUAUUUGCUUAUCCAACAUUCUGCCGGCCCGUUUAUGUUGGAUAAGUGAGACUCUACUGUAUUUGCAUAUAUGUUAAUGAUCUUGGAGAUGGGACCCAAAUCUAACCAGUAGAUUAUGUUUUAUGUACAUCACAUUCACAUAACUGGAAUGUAAUCUUGCUCAAUAUGUUGGGCAUGAACUAAAGUUUGUGCGUUUUGAACACUCAGUAGGCUAAGGUGCCACCAUCUCAGCCAUUGUGGAUUUUGGAGGAUUUGGGGAUUCUGCACAAGGGGUGCUCAGCCUAGGGGGAGGAGGAAUAUUGUUCCGGCAAUAAACAGUCUAUUUUAAGAUCAAUACUAGGUUUGGGAGCCAGAGUAGUGUAGUGGUCUGGGGAUUGGAUGCUUGGCUCAAAAAACUUACUGGAUGAUUGAUCUCUAUUCUACUUUCUCCAUUUGCUAAUAUCUCCUUAUGGAACUCUGGCAGAUCUAGAAGCAGCCUGUCUCCUUCACUUGGCUCUUCAGGAUAGCAUUUGAUAUGGCAAGUGGCAUAUACAUUGGUUAAAUAUUGAUUAAUAAUAACUCUGGCUUACAGGUAGCUUGCUGAAGGAAGAAAAUGGGGAGUGAAAAUAUUCCAGCUCUUUUAAGGCCUUUGGCACCUGAAGAAGCCGAGGCUGCAAAAGACUUGCCAGAACUCCAACUUGAUGCAGCAUCUUGGUUGGAAGGAGGACAAGUGUGGGUCCUUGAACUUGAGCCUUAUCAGCCUGAACCAUCUUCAGGUGAGUCUGUGGCCAGGGCGCUUUUCAAAUAUUAAAGAUAGAUUACAAGUUGUAUUGUACACUCUUUGAGAUAGAAGGGGCUUCAAGGGCCUAUUUGCAUGCAGAAAAUCUUUCUAUCAGAGUUAGUUUUUCUGUGACUUGGAAUGCAUCUACACUGUAAAAUAAUUGCAGUUUGGCACAACUUUAGCUAUCCUGGCUCAAUGCUAUGGAAUCACGGUAGGUAGUAGUGAGGCACCAGUGAGGCACUAUUUAUCAGAGAAGGCAACAGACCUUGUAUAACUACUUGCCUCAUGAUUCCAGAGCAUUGAGCCAUGGCAAUUAAAGUGGGAUCAAACUGGAUUAAUUCUGCAGUGUAGCUGAACCCAUUGAUAUUUUGAAGGAUGUUUCAAAGCAAUGUUUUCCUGCUAGUACAUUAUUAUUAUUAUUAUUAUUAUUAUCAUCCCAUUUUUCAACCUACAUGGGGGUGGAGGUGGGAUGACGUGAAGUGAUGUGGUAUCAAGAGGACUUAACUUGCCUGAUCUUAUUCCUUAGAUUAAGCUUGCUGCUGUUACCUUCCAUGGUUCUUCAUCUCUGACAUAAUAAUCAAUGUCGCAUCCUUGUUAUCCUGGGCAGAUGUUGGAGAAAGGCUUUUUUUCGUGUCAGGAGCUACUUGAGAACCUGCAAGUUGCUUCUGAUUUGAGUGAAUUGGCCAUCUGCAAGGACAUUGCCCAGGGGACGCCCAAAUGUUUGAUGUUUUACCAUCCUGUGUGAGGCUUCUCUCAUGUCCCCGCAUGGGGAGGUGGAGCUGACAGAGGGAGCUCAUAUGUGCUCUCCUCGGAUUCGAACUGCCGACCUGUCAGUCUGCAGUCCUGCCGGCAUAAGGGUUUAAACCAGUGGUUCCCAAACUUAUUUGGCCUACUGCCCCCUUUCCAGAAAAAAUAUUACUCAGCGCCCUGGAAAUUAUUUUUUAAAAAGUUUUAAUAGCAAUUAAACAGAAAAUAUAUGUACCUGUGGCCAUCACCGCUCCCCUGGAUUGCUGCAGCGCCCACCAGGGGGCAGUAGCGUCCACUUUGGGAAUCAUUGGUUUAAACUAUUGUACCAUUGGGGGCUCCAUAGAAAGGCUAAUAUGUGAAGGAGAAAAUGCAAUCCCUCCACAUUCACUAGGGUAAGGGGUACAUGACACUUGCAAAAGUGAACGAAGCCACUGUUUUGACUUGAGUGAACAACUCUCUAGGCAUUUCUAAGUCCUCCAGUGUGACAAUGGUGAACUUCAGGUGGAAGUUGGCCAUAUAAUUAUGCUGGAGGGCCUACAAAUGGCUAAAGACAUUUACAACUCUGUGGUUAACUUCUGGUGGAAGGUGAUCAUAAAGACAUGUUGGAGAUUCCUCUAGAGAGCAUAUUAAUAGAAUCUCUGAAUAAUCAAAUCCACGAAAGUCAAACCCACAAAUGUGGAGGGCUAAGCAUAUCACAGCUCUAAGGGAUGUAAAAAGCAUUUAGAUCCCAUGGUUCCCCAGUUCAACCACAGAUUAUAAUUUUGCAUUGCAGAAGGCAGUUUGAUGUCUAGACUUCCCUGGAAUCCUUUAGACAGAAAUUCAUUUCAUUUGCUUUUCUAUCUCAGCAGGUGGUGAAAAUUUAGAGGAAAUACGUCAGUUGGCGAGUACUGAGAGAACAGAUUCAGAGAAUCUGGAAAAUGGAGUUGCAGAUUCAGAAUCCCAGACAUAUGAAGACAAGACAGUCCCAUUGGCCAGUCAACAGGGCACGGAAACUUCUAUAGGUGAUGGGG